rnacentral:rRNA from 1 species
AGGACUUGACAUCCCUUGAGCGCUCUAGAGAUAGAGUUUCUCUUCGGAGCAAGGAGACAGGUGGUGCAUGGUUGUCGUCAGCUCGUGUCGUGAGAUGUUGGGUUAAGUCCCGCAACGAGCGCAACCCUUGCCAUUAGUUGCCAUCAUUAAGUUGGGCACUCUAAUGGGACUGCCGGUGACAAAUCGGAGGAAGGUGGGGAUGACGUCAAAUCAUCAUGCCCCUUAUGUCCUGGGCUACACACGUACUACAAUGGCUACUACAAUGGGCAGCAAUACCGCGAGGUGGAGCGAAUCCCCAAAAGUAGUCUCAGUUCGGAUUGCAGGCUGAAACUCGCCUGCAUGAAGUCGGAAUUGCUAGUAAUUGCAGGUCAGCAUACUGCAGUGAAUACGUUCCCGGGUCU